UACGUAGGGUGCGAGCGUUGCCCGGAUUUAUUGGGCGUAAAGGGCGCGUAGGCGGCUCUGCACGUUCGUUGUGAAAUCGCCCGGCUCAACUGGGCGGGGUCAGCGGAUACGGCAGAGCUUGAGCAAGCUAGGGGGCAAUGGAAUUCCCGGUGUAGUGGUGGAAUGCGUAGAUAUCGGGAGGAACACCGGUGGCGAAGGCGGUUCUCUGGGCCUGUACUGACGCUGAGGAGCGAAAGCGUGGGGAGCAAACAGG
rnacentral:rRNA from 1 species